AUAUUAAACUUCUAAGCAGGAGGAAGAAAUGAUGUCAGCAGAAAUAAUUGCAUUUUUGACAGAGAUUGGGUGUGUUUUGCCCAUUACCUCAUCAAGUCCCCCUUCUGCUUGGUGGAAAGUCAAGUCAAUGCUAGAGGUGAGUCACCUACUGGUUGGAGUCUCUAAAAGGAGCAGUUUCACCGAAGAGCAGCAGUAUGAGGCAUUCCUCUGCUCAUCAGGAGAAGAUCGGAGCUCAGAAGACACUGGAGAAAUUGAAUCUACUACACAGCUCAGGAAGAAAUGAGCUCUUACUGGGCAACAGAGCUGCAUUAGUGGGGGAGAUCACCAGAGGGUUCUGAAGAUUGGUGCCACUGACUGGAUGAUGAUGGCAAUAGGUGACGUGAACCCCAAUGGCUUCACAGCUCUAUGUUCUCAUCAGCUGGCCUGACGGGAGCAGAGUCAUCAAUAUAGAAAACAUCAAAGAGCCCCAAAAACCAGUUCACCUGUAUUCAGUGGGUGAGCAGGUGCUAGCCCAGUGUCCCGGCUUCUGUGGCUUAUACUGGGGGGUCGUGGAAGACGUAAGUGGUAAGCCACAGGUAUCAGUUAGAAAAGAUGAGUCUGGGGUGAGAACUCUUUCUAAGGGCAAAAGCACUACAGAACUAAUAUCCUUUUCUUUCAACAGAGUGUCAGGAUGUCCUGGAGAAGAAACUUCAGAAAGAGAAACACCUACUUAAAAAAUUCAAGAAGGGGCCAGAAGCAUUUGGCCCCCUGCCCACUGAUAAGAAGUCGAAGAAGAGUUUUCCCAACUGGGUACCGGGCAUACCACCAAAGAAAAAUCAAGGUGGCAGAAUUCUUCCUGUUGACUACCCAUCGGUAUCAGCCCCCCAGAAUGCUCCUGCUGCUUCUCAUAUCACCUCUCCCCUUACCGAGGAAAGGGUCAUUCCAGAGCCACCCGUCAUCCACCAUGCCAUAACCCCACAGUCUCCGUUGGUCAGUGCUUUUAGCUUCCCCGCUUCCUUCCUGGAUCAGGAUGAAGCAGGGACAUCUCAGAAAGAAGAGGCAGACCCCCAGCUGAAGAAUGAAACAGAGACCAGAGGUUGUGUUACCCUGGCACUGAAAAGGAAGGCGGAUGGCAUUGUAGUUCAGUGUCAAGAACAUGUCCCCAGAGCAAGGGUUUUUUAUUCUCUUAGUUGUGAUGACCCCAAAAGCAAAAGCGCUCCCGAAAUGAACGAAUUUGACAGCUGCCAGAAAAGUUUCCGGACUUGUGAAAUGGAAAGGGAGAAGAUCGGCCAACUGGAGCGACUGGUGUGGGAUUUGCAGCGGGAAGUGAUUUCCCUGAAGAAGAAGGUUCAGAAGUUGGAAUCUGCAUCUCUGCGGGAAGAAGCCCCCGGACCACAGUUCCAGAUGGUGGAGUUGUUCAAUGGCUACACCAGGGAGCAGUUGAGAGAGACCAUCCGCUUUGACCAGAAGGUCAGCACAGCCUGCAAGACGCUGCUCUAUAAGCUCUUCACCUCCGACUACAUCCAGAGCCACUCCAUCACAGGCCGCAGGGGAAACACUUUUAGGGAGGCCAAGCCCAUGAUGGACGAGCGCUGCAUCAAGGUCAUCCGCCUCCUGUUGAAGCAGAAGUUCGGGGAUCACCUCAGUGACACAGUCAUCACCGAGAAGAUCCAAAAUGUGCAGAAAGCUCUGAGGCAGAAGUACAAGGCAGAGUGUCUGUAA
rnacentral:lncRNA from 1 species